GUCCUUUUGAUNUUAAUUUAAGGUCUNACCUGCCCACUGAAAUUUUUUGAAGGGCCGCAGUAAUUUGACUGUGCAAAGGUAGCAUAAUCAUUAGUUUUUUAAUUGAAAGCUUGUAUGAAGGGUUGGACGAGGUAAAUUCUGUCUCUAUUUAAUUUUAUUUAGAAUUUAAUUUUUAAGUUAAAAAGCUUAAAUUUAUUUAAAAGACGAGAAGACCCUAUAGAUCUUUAUAUUAAAAAUAUUAAUUUUAAUUAAGAAUAUUUAAUUUUUUAAUGUUUAUAAUAUUUUAUUGGGGUAAUAAAAAGAUUAAAAUAAUUCUUUUUUUAUUUUAACAUUAAUUUAUGAUUAUAUGAUCCAAUUUUAUUGAUUAAAAGAUUAAGUUACCUUAGGGAUAACAGCGUAAUUUUUUUAGAGAGUUCAUAUCGAUAAAAAAGUUUGCGACCUCGAUGUUGGAUUAAAAAUUAUCUUAGGUG
rnacentral:rRNA from 1 species